AAAUUUGGAGUGACUCUUUAAACUACUGCAGACUGUAUCACACUGAUUUGGCUACAAUAGAAAACCAAGAUCAGAACGAAAAACUAAAGCAGCUGCUCAACAACAAUAAUGUGACAAAAGCUUUCAUAGGUUUAUACAGAGACACCUGGAAGUGGUCAGAUCAGAGCAUCUAUGGAUUCACCAUUUGGUUGGCUGGUGAACCCAAUAAUUUAAUCGGAAAAGAAUAUUGUGGAGAAAUUUAUUUGCCAAAUGCACAGUGGGCUGACGAACCAUGUUCAAAGAAACUCAAAUUUGUCUGUGGCACUGACAAGAAGAUUCAAGUGCUGAAAAUAAACAUAAAGUCACCACUGAACCUUAAUGUCAAUGAUUUUAACGGCCCCAUUUUACAGCAGUUUGAGCAAAAGCUGAGGAAACUGGGACUGCCGAGUAACACCAGGCUGACAUGGAGGACACAAGCUGAUGGACAAAUAUUUCAAACCCAGAACACUGCAAAGACAACAAAA